rnacentral:rRNA from 1 species
GAGCAACCAGCCCCUCACAUCUGGUAUAAGCGCUGCGAAACGGCGUCUAAUACUGGAUAUGAGACACAGCCCCAUGGUUAGUGUUUGGAAAGAUUUUUCGGUGGGGGAUGGGCUCGCGGCCUAUCAGCUUGUUGGCGAGGUAAUGGCUCACCAAGGCGUCGACGGGUAGCCGGCCUGAGACGGUGACCGGCCACACUGGGACUGAGACACGCCCCACACCCCUACGGGAGGCAGCAGUGGGGAAUAUUGCACAAUGGGCCGAAGCCUCAUGCAGCAACGCCGCGAGAGGGAUGACGCCCUUCGGGUUGUAAACCUCUUUUAGCAGGGAAGAAGC